GCAAUGCCAUAUAUGAACAAGCCCAUAACAAUCCAAUGCCAUACACAUUCAAUUCUAUAUACAGUCAUGCAUCACAAAUAUAUUCAAAUGUCAUUCCAUUACACAUGCAUAUAUGCAACUAGUUCAAUUCCAAAAGCGGUCAAUUUGGAGUUCAAGCUCAUCUAUCAUCAAAUCCAAUUCACAUUUGCAAAGCACACCAAUCCAAAACAAUGCCAAAUCAGUUUCACGAUAUACAAUCACAUUCAUUCAAGAUUAAAAAAAACAAGACAUAUCAUGCAUCAUACAUCCAUGCCACAUUUAAAUUCAAUUAAAUUCAAGCAAUUCGUGUUGGUACCAUAAUUCAUGACCAUUCAAAUACCAUACAAGUCACUCAUUCAUAUCCAAGUUCUAGCCUAACUUUCAAUUAUUUUGGAUCUCACUUAAAUCAAAUUUCGUCCAAACAAUUCACAAAAGUUAUAAAACCAUAACAUGUGCAUAAGAGUUCAUAUACAAAGCAAACAUCAAUACACAUUAACCACAAAAUCUAUUAACCAAUUCUCUAACAACCUAAUAAUUAUGCUAACUUCAUCAUAACUAGUUCAGCUCACCAUAACUACCUUAAAACCUUUCCAACUAACUUACACCACAAAUUAGCAACCAAUUUCUAACAUAACCAUUAACCAAUCAUUAACAUUUAACUACUUUUUACAGUUAACACAUAACUGUUUUUUAACCACAUUUAGAUUUUUUACCGUUAACACUUAAUUGUUCUUCUUUAACCAAUCUAACCCUUUUUCAAAAUGAACAUAACCUUUUUAAAUUGGUUUUUUCAACUGUUUGGUUUCAGUUAACCUUCUUUUUUUAACCUAUUAACUAGUUUUUUUCAAUUAACCAUUUAACUUUGAACCGAACAGUUAACCUUCACUAGACUUUUUUAUUUAACUAGAAUUUUAACCAAUUAACAACCUUCUAACUAUAGUUUUAACUACUUAGAAAUUAAGCUCAACCGAUUGGUUAACAAUCUAACUUCCCUCUAACAAACUAAUGCACUCUAAAACACUCUAAAACCAACCACAACUAACUUUGAGACAGUUGUUAACUGACUCCCAACUGCCAGUACACGUGGCACCUGCCAAUUCACCAAAUUGCCUUUCAAUUCCAUUUCCCUCCAAGCUUG
rnacentral:lncRNA from 1 species